rnacentral:rRNA from 1 species
CCUACGGGGUGCUGCAGUGAGGAAUAUUGGUCAAUGGUCGGGAGACUGAACCAGCCAAGCCGCGUGAGGGAUGAAGGUACAGAGUAUCGUAAACCUCUUUUGUCAGGGAACAAAGGCGGGGACGCGUCCCCGGAUGAGUGUACCUGAAGAAAAAGCAUCGGCUAACUCCGUGCCAGCAGCCGCGGUAAUACGGAGGAUGCGAGCGUUAUCCGGAUUUAUGGGGUUUAAAGGGUGCGCAGGCGGUCUGUUAAGUCAGCGGUCAAAGCCCGGGGCUCAACCCCGGCCCGCCGUUGAAACUGGCAGUCUCGAGUUGGAGAGAAGUAUGCGGAAUGCGCGGUGUAGCGGUGAAAUGCAUAGAUAUCGCGCAGAACUCCGAUUGCGAAGGCAGCAUGCCGGCUCCACACUGACGCUGAGGCACGAAAGCGUGGGUAUCGAACAGGAUUAGAUACCCGGGUAGUC